UUCUUCCUGCACCUAAUCCUUGCGAGACAAAAGGAACAAGGACCUAGCCUGUCACUGUUGAAGACAUGAAGAAUAAAGAGUAAAGAGACUAAUUUGGUGGUGGUGCUGGUGGUGGUGCAGGGGUGGUGGACGUUGAUGGUUAGUAGGUUAGGGCCUCCUUUGCUAGUCUUUUAAGGCAUGGCAUGGGGGAGGUGGCUUCCACGUUCAUAUGAGAAGUGGGGAUAAAAAGAAAUUAAGUAGCUGCAGAAUCAGUAGCGGCCAUGCUAUAUGGACAGCAAAGGAGUGUUCGAGCGAUUUCGGAUGACUGUCUUCUUCUGGCACGCCGUGGGCCACACGUGGGUCCGGCCGGUGCCUUUCCACGCCAUCUGCGCUCGGACGGGUUGAUUGAGCCCCCACAAACAAGAUUUCUCCUUUACAAAAUUCCUCACUACUGGUGUCGCUGUUGCUCUUGUCGUUCUGCACUUUGCGUUAUAGUUGCAGUUCAGGCUAUGCACAAAACUUUUAAGUGAAAAUUUUGCGUAGAAUUCUGCUUCUGUUUUAUACUUUUCCAGUGAAACCAAUUCCAGGUAUUUUUAAAAUAUUAAUUUUGAUACGAUGCAACCAAUAUCAAUAUGUGAGAAUCUAGCUGCUGCAAUGUUACGUUGGACUCUCCUGUUGUGAAGUUGGGCGUCUGUUGUUUGUAAUCAAAGCCUAUUAAUUUAAUAAUCAGUUUUUAAUAAAGACAUAAAGCAGCGGAUUUCUACGAUGAAAUUUACAUAAUAAGUGGCGUGGAUCUGAAAGCCUUCUCGUAUAUGAAUUCCUGCCUAACAAGAGUCUCGAUCGUUUCAUUUCUGGCACCUAUAAAUCUAUAUUUUCACCUUAAUUUUGAUAUUGCAAAAACCCCAUUGUAAAACGAGCAUAAAACCUAACUGCUCCACUAUCAGUGAAGCAAUUAGAGGAUGUAUCUCUACUCCAAAUUGUAGAGUUAAACUAAGCUUCGGGAUCUUGCUAAUUUACACAUAUAACCUAGUACCUACACUUUCUCAGACAGUUUUCACAGGGAGUUUUCUUCUGUUAUAUUGAUUUUAGACUUCCGAUUGCCCAUCAUGAGAGCCCCAAUUCAUGUCCAAAUCCAACAGCUAUCAAUACAGUAACAACGAAGAAUACUUACCUUCUUCAUUGCUGAUUGGCAACAGUUUUUGUCUGUGUUAGUCUGAAUGCUGAGUGAAAUGGGACUUGAUGGUGUUUUGCAUAUCUAAAUGUGGCAGAUCAGAACAAAGGCAAGGCGCUGAACUGGGAGAAUAGAUACAAGAUAAUUAUUGGUACUGCAGAAGGUUUAGUCUACCUUCAUAUGAACUCCAAAAUCAGAAUCAUUCACAGAGAUACAAAGGCCAGCAAUAUCUGUUAGAUUCAAGGCUUCGUGCUAAAAUUGCCGAUUUUGGGUUGGCCAGAUCUUUCCAAGAAGAUAAUAAGUCACAUCAGCAGCCAUCCCAGGAAGUGUAAGUAUCCUUUUCCAAACAUUUCCAAACCGCUCAAAGGAUGAUUAGCUAGCUCAGUAAUCUUGCAGUUCUUUAAAUGAAAACCAUAUCACAGAUAGUAAAGUCCUUGAAUCUUCGAACAAGCAAUGAAUUCAAAUAAUUUGCAGAGGAUACAUGGCUCUAGUCAGUUAACAGAAAAGGCAGAUGUCCACAGCUUUGGGGUGCUUUUGUUGGAGAUUGUUACAGUAAGGCAUAACAACAGGAGCAGAACCUCAAGAUUACACAGACGGCCCAAUCACAUUCACAUGGAAAAAAUUCCAGGCAGGAACUCUGGAGGAGCUUUAUGACCCAAAUCUGAUGUUUCACAAUCACCAUGAUAACAAUGUUCAGAAUGAUGUUACGGGGGUAGAGCAUGUGGGCCUUCUAUGCACACAAGAAAUCCCAUCACUUCGACCAACAAUGUCAAAAGCUCUCUAACAACUGGGGAACACAUUCCUUAGCCCACUAAUCCCCCAUUCAUAGACGAAAGGACCAUGGAACUCAAUGACACAUGUGAGGAACCAUGUCACCUCAAUUUUGGUAUUUCAGCAUCAAUCGCUUCCACUGACAAUAGUCCCUUCUACCCAAGAUGACCUCAGGAUGGAUGAGAGGUAGGUUUUACAAAGGAACAGUGAGCUCAGACUAAUUAUAUUUAGUGGAACUGGCCAAACAUCUCAGGCUACAGUUGACUUACUCAAGCACCAUGCAGGAAGCAUUUGCAAAACAAUAUGAUGAUCGGCAUAUGAGAAGUUGUCGUUAAAUUACAAAGCUGCAGAGAUGAGGUCUAGGGCAGUAAUGCCAAAAUUCCUAUGUUCAUCGUGGAGUUGGACAAAAGUGCAUGGCAGUGUGAAGUUUUAGGGACAGAUUUAGAUAAUUUUUUAGGUUUAAAUCAACAAAUCCAGCUCCAGGAAAACUAGAAUUAUAAGUUUUAAGAUAGUUUUGUUUUUUAAAUUAAUUUAAGAAUACGAACAUCUUGAUUGACGGGUUGACAAGCA